CCUACGGGGAGCUGCAGUGGGGAAUAUUGGACAAUGGGGGGAACCCUGAUCCAGCCAUGCCGCGUGUGUGAAGAAGGCCCUCGGGUGGUAAAGCACUUUCAGUGAGGAAGAACGCCUGGUGGUUAAUACCCAUCAGGAAAGACAUCACUCACAGAAGAAGCACCGGCUAACUCCGUGCCAGCAGCCGCGGUAAUACGGAGGGUGCGAGCGUUAAUCGGAAUUACUGGGCGUAAAGCGCGCGUAGGUGGCUUGAUAAGCCGGUUGUGAAAGCCCCGGGCUCAACCUGGGAACGGCAUCCGGAACUGUCAAGCUAGAGUGCAGGAGAGGAAGGUAGAAUUCCCGGUGUAGCGGUGAAAUGCGUAGAGAUCGGGAGGAAUACCAGUGGCGAAGGCGGCCUUCUGGACUGACACUGACACUGAGGUGCGAAAGCGUGGGUAGCAAACAGGAUUAGAUACCCUAGUAGUC
rnacentral:rRNA from 1 species